UAUUACCGCCACGCGUUGAGCACUAGUGAAUUAUUCUUUCACCUUUUACUAUAGAACACCGUGUGCCCGUGGCUAUUCAAGUGACAUACACUUCUUUUUGGAGGGUUGUCUAGUUGACACCCC